GGAUGCAGUUCGUCUCCGAGUGCUACAUGGCGCGCUGGCCACCGACUCGCUCAGGACGUCCCACCCGAUCGAGGUGCCGGUCAGUAACCCGGCCGAGGUGGAUGAAAUCUUCGACGGCAUCAGCUAUGACAAGGGCGCCUGCGUCAUCCGCAUGCUGCACGAGUUCCUCGGCCACGAGGACUUCAAGCGCGGCAUGAACCUGUACCUGCGCCGGCACCAGUUCGGCAACACGUUCACCGAGGACCUAUGGGCGGCGCUGGAGGAGGCCAGCGGCAAGCCGGUGGGCGACGUCAUGUCCUCCUGGACCCGGCAGA